rnacentral:rRNA from 1 species
CCUACGGGUGGCUGCAGUGAGGAAUAUUGGUCAAUGGACGCGAGUCUGAACCAGCCAAGUAGCGUGAAGGAUGACUGCCCUAUGGGUUGUAAACUUCUUUUAUAUGGGAAUAAAAGAGGGUUUGCAUACCCCCUAUUAUGUACACUAUGAAAAAGAGUACGCUAACUCCGGGCCAGCAGCGCCGGUAAUACGGGGGAGGCGCGCGUUUUCCGGAUUUAUUGGGGUUAAAGGGAGCGUAGGUGGGCUUGUAAGUCAGUGGUGAAAGUUCGCGGCUCAACCGUAAAAUUGCAGUUGAAACUGGCAGUCUUGAGUACAGUAGAGGUGGGCGGAAUUCGUGGUGUAGCGGUGAAAUGCUUAGAUAUCAUGAAGAACUCCGAUCGCGAAGGCAGGUCACCGGACUGCAACUGACACUGAUGCUCGAAAGUGUGGGUAUCAAACAGGAUUAGAUACCCGGGUAGUC